AAAGGUCGUUCAGCAGACGCUCUUCAAUAGUGUCCUUCUGCGCAUCACACAGUGAGCACAUCCGUUCCACUACAGCGCUUGUUAAACUUCAGAGUUUCGUCUUGUUAAACCAGAGUUUCGUCUUGUUAAACUUCAGUUUCGUCUGUUAAACAGCCAAGAUGCGUUUCUUCCUGAUCUUGUUGGCCCUCUGCUGCUUCCUGAGCGCCAGUCUCGCCCUGCCCUUGGCCAGAGGAAGAGCCACUUCCAGAGUUGCUGACGACAGAUAUUUCGUUUCUCGACAGGGCGUCAGAGACUUCCGCCGCACAAAAUCUGGACGGCUCUACGUGCCCAAGAAAUUCCUCGGAUAAAAAGGAAAAAGACAUGUGAUAAGAUUACUAGAAUCACAUAAAUGAAGAUCUCCUGUUAUUUAUUACAUAUGCUGGGAGGCGUGAUAUGAUCCCAGGAUGUCCAUACUAUCUUAGUUUAGAUUAUAUCUAUUAACCUAUAUAUUUUUGUAGUAUUUUAUAGUUAUAUUUUUUAUAUGCAAAUAAAAACAUGAAAUGUU